rnacentral:rRNA from 1 species
GGGUUGUGAGGUUAAGCGACUAAGCGUACACGGUGGAUGCCCUGGCAGUCAGAGGCGAUGAAGGACGUGCUAAUCUGCGAAAAGCGACGGUAAGGUGAUAUGAACCGCUACAGCCGUCGAUGUCCGAAUGGGGAAACCCAGUGCACUUCGGUGCAUUAUCGUUAACUGAAUACAUAGGUUAACGAGGCGAACCGGGGGAA